rnacentral:piRNA from 8 species
GGACUCUGAAUCCAGCGAUCCGAGU